rnacentral:rRNA from 1 species
CGCAAUGGGCGAAAGCCUGACGCAGCGACGCCGCGUAGGGGAUGAAGGUCUUCGGAUUGUAAACCCCUUUCGGGAGGGAAGAUGGGAUGGGGUAACCCAUUCGGACGGUACCUCCAGAAGCAGCCACGGCUAACUCGUGCCAGCAGCCGCGGUAAUACGAAGGUGGCAAGCGUUGUUCGGAUUUACUGGGCGUACAGGGAGCGUAGGCGGUUGGGUAAGCCCUCCGUGAAAUCUCCAGGCUUAACCUGGAAAGUGCAGAGGGGACUGCUUAGCUAGAGGAUGGGAGAGGAGCGCGGAAUUCCCGGUGUAGCGGUGAAAUGCGUAGAGAUCGGGAGGAAGGCCGGUGGCGAAGGCGGCGCUCUGGAACAUUUCUGACGCUGAGGCUCGAAAGCGUGGGGAGCAAACAGGAUUAGAUACCCUGGUAGUCCACGCCUUAAACGAUGGAUACUAAGUGUCGGCGGGUUACCGCCGGUGCCGCAGCUAACGCAGUAAGUAUCCCGCCUGGGAAGUACGGCCGCAAGGUUG